GACGAACCGUGCGAACGUUGUUCGGAAUCACUGGGCCUAAAGGGCGCGUAGGCGGGCUGCCAAGUCCGGGGUGAAAUCUUUCGGCUCAACCGGAAAAGUGCCUUGGAUACUGGCGGCCUUGAGGGAGGUAGGGGUAUGUGGAACUUCCGGUGGAGCGGUGAAAUGCGUUGAUAUCGGAAGGAACGCCGGUGGCGAAAGCGACGUACUGGACCUCUUCUGACGCUGAGGCGCGAAAGCUAGGGGAGCGAACGGG
rnacentral:rRNA from 1 species